GCUUUCAACAUCCCCGUUUCGAGCAACGUUGCCGAAUUUUGAGCGGCAGUUGUGUCGAGACUGAAGGC
ncrna:unclassified sequences nadA RNA